rnacentral:rRNA from 1 species
GGAAGUAAAAGUCGUAACAAGGUCUCCGUAGGUGAACCUGCGGAGGGCUCAUUACAAGUGACCCCGGCUUACCACCGGGAUGUUCAUAACCCUUUGUUGUCCGACUCUGUUGCCUCCGGGGCGACCCUGCCUUCGGGCGGGGGCUCCGGGUGGACACUUCAAACUCUUGCGUAACUUUGCAGUCUGAGUAAACUUAAUUAAUAAAUUAAAACUUUUAACAACGGAUCUCUUGGUUCUGGCAUCGAUGAAGAACGCAGCGAAAUGCGAUAAGUAAUGUGAAUUGCAGAAUUCAGUGAAUCAUCGAAUCUUUGAACGCACAUUGCGCCCCCUGGUAUUCCGGGGGGCAUGCCUGUUCGAGCGUCAUUUCACCACUCAAGCCUCGCUUGGUAUUGGGCAACGCGGUCCGCCGCGUGCCUCAAAUCGACCGGCUGGGUCUUCUGUCCCCUAAGCGUUGUGGAAACUAUUCGCUAAAGGGUGCUCGGGAGGCUACGCCGUAAAACAACCCCAUUUCUAAGGUUGACCUCGGAUCAGGUAGGGAUACCCGCUGAACUUAAGCAUAUCAAUAAGCGGAGG